rnacentral:rRNA from 1 species
AACAAAAAGCAAGUAAUAAAAUAGGAUUAGAUACCCUAGUAUUUUUGUAGGCUACACCUUAUCACUAAGUUUAAAAUAAGAAUAUUUGGCGGCUUUAAGUUAUUAGAGGGGCUUGUCAAUAAACGAUACCCCGCGUUUAGUUAUACUUAAUUUAAUUUUGUAUACCUUCGUAUAGGUUGUCUUUUAUAGUUAACAAUUUAAAAAAAUAGAUCAAGGUGCAGAAAUUUUUAAGCUAGAUUAGCCACAAUACUUACCAGUAGACGAAAAAUUAAGCUAUCAGGAGGAUUUAACUUUAACUACUAUACUUGUGAAUUAGGGCCUUAAAGUGUUCAGAUC